UAGGGAAUCUUCGGCAAUGGGGGCAACCCUGACCGAGCAACGCCGCGUGAGUGAAGAAGGUUUUCGGAUCGUAAAGCUCUGUUGUAAGUCAAGAACGAGUGUGAGAGUGGAAAGUUCACACUGUGACGGUAGCUUACCAGAAAGGGACGGCUAACUACGUGCCAGCAGCCGCGGUAAUACGUAGGUCCCGAGCGUUGUCCGGAUUUAUUGGGCGUAAAGCGAGCGCAGGCGGUUUGAUAAGUCUGAAGUUAAAGGCUGUGGCCCAACCAUAGUUCGCUUUGGAAACUGUCAAACUUGAGUGCAGAAGGGGAGAGUGGAAUUCCAUGUGUAGCGGUGAAAUGCGUAGAUAUAUGGAGGAACACCGGUGGCGAAAGCGGCUCUCUGGUCUGUAACUGACGCUGAGGCUCGAAAGCGUGGGGAGCGAACAGGACUAGAUACCCUGGUAGUCCACGCCGUAAACGAUGAGUGCUAGGUGUUGGAUCCUUUCCGGGAUUCAGUGCCGCAGCUAACGCAUUAAGCACUCCGCCUGGGGAGUACGACCGCAAGGUU
rnacentral:rRNA from 1 species